rnacentral:rRNA from 1 species
ACGUAGGAGGCGAGCGUUAUCCGGAUUUACUGGGCGUAAAGCGUGCGCAGGCGGUUUGAUAAGAUGGAUGUGAAAGCUCCCGGCUUAACCGGGAGAGGGCGUUCGAAACUAUCAGACUUGAGAGCGGUAGAGGGGGGUGGAAUUCCGCAUGUAGUGGUGAAAUGCGUAGAUAUGCGGAGGAACACCGAUGGCGAAGGCAACCUCCUGGCCCAGUUCUGACGCUCAUGCACGAAAGCUAAGGUAGCAAACGG